AGUGAGAAUGCCGGAAUGAGUAGCGAGAAUUAUGUGAGAAUCAUAAUGGCCGAAAGCCUAAGGUUUUUGGAGGAAGGUUCGUCCGCUCCAAGUAAGUCGGAAGCUAAGGUGAGGCUGAAAAGCGUAGCCGAUGCACAAACGGUUGAAAUUCCGUUACCACAGAAAGAUUUAAACUAAGGGACACUUUUGAAGAGCUGAUGCCGGGUGUUGGUUACCCCGGUCGUAAGGGAACGAAAUUAAGUAGUGAAGUCAGCGUGGAUGAAGGCGAGAAAAGCUUAGUGUAUAUCUUAUGUGUCCGUACCGCAAACCGACACAGGUAGGUAGGAAGAGAAUUCUAAGGCCAACGGGAGAAGGGUAGUUAAGGAACUCGGCAAAAUGUCCCCGUAACUUCGGAAUAAGGGGAGGUUUCUACGGAAACCCGCAGAGAAUAGUCCCAGGCAACUGUUUAUCAAAAACACAGCUCUAUGCUAAAUCGAAAGAUGACGUAUAUGGGGUGACGCCUGCCCGGUGCCGGAAGGUUAAGAGGAGGAGUGAGAGCCCUGAAUCGAAGCCCCGGUAAACGGCGGCCGUAACUAUAACGGUCCUAAGGUAGCGAAAUUCCUUGUCAGGUAAGUUCUGACCCGCACGAAUGGCGUAAUGAUCUGGGAGCUGUCUCAACUGCCCGCCCGGCGAAAUUGUAGUACCGGUGAAGAUGCCGGUUACCCGCGACUAGACGGAAAGACCCCAUGGAGCUUUACUGUAGCUUAAUAUUGGAUUUCGGCAUUUCAUGUACAGGAUAGGUGGGAGACUAGGAAACAUAGGCGUCAGCUUAUGCGGAGUCGUCCUUGGGAUACCACUCUUGGAGUGCUGAAAUUCUAACCUGCAGCCCUGAAUCGGGUUGGGGGACAUUGUUAGGUGGGCAGUUUGACUGGGGCGGUCGCCUCCAAAAAGGUAACGGAGGCGCUCAAAGGUUGGCUCAGCAUGGAUGGAAACCAUGCCAUAGAGUGCAAACGCAAAAGCCAGCCUGACUGCGAGACUGACGGGUCGAGCAGAAACGAAAGUUGGAGUUAGUGAUCCGGCGGUAUGUGAAUGGAAAUGCCGUCGCUCAACGGAUAAAAGCUACCCUGGGGAUAACAGGCUGAUCUCCCCCAAG
rnacentral:rRNA from 1 species